GUGAAUCAUCGAAUCUUUGAACGCACAUUGCGCCCCUUGGUAUUCCGGGGGGCAUGCCUGUUCGAGCGUCAUU
rnacentral:rRNA from 1 species